UACGUAGGCAGCAAGCGUUGUUCGGAGUUACUGGGCGUAAAGGGUGCGUAGGCGGCCCUGUAAGUAUGGUGUGAAAUCUCCCGGCUUAACUGGGAGGGUGCGCUAUAGACUGCGGGGCUCGAGUGUGGGAGAGGAAAGUGGAAGUUCCUGGUGUAGCGGUGAAAUGCGUAGAUAUCAGGAGGAACACCGGUGGUGUAAACGGCUUCUGGACCAUAACUGACGCUGGAGGCACGAAAGCGUUGGGUAGCAAACAGG
rnacentral:rRNA from 1 species